UAUACGACCGUACCGCAAACCGACACUGGUGCGCGAGAUGAGUAUUCUAAGGCGCUUGAGAGAACUCAGGAGAAGGAACUCGGCAAAUUGACACCGUAACUUCGGAAGAAGGUGUGCCCUAUUAGUGUGUAGUGAACAACGAAGCAUGAAUGGGUUGCAAAAAAUCGGUGGCUGCGACUGUUUAUUAAAAACACAGCACUCUGCAAACACGAAAGUGGACGUAUAGGGUGUGACGCCUGCCCGGUGCUGGAAGAUUAAAUGAUGGGGUGCAAGCUCUUGAUUGAAGUCCCAGUAAACGGCGGCCGUAACUAUAACGGUCCUAAGGUAGCGAAAUUCCUUGUCGGGUAAGUUCCGACCUGCACGAAUGGCGUAACGAUGGCCACACUGUCUCCUCCUGAGACUCAGCGAAGUUGAAAUGUUUGUGAUGAUGCAAUCUCCCCGCGGAAAGACGGAAAGACCCCAUGAACCUUUACUGUAGCUUUGUAUUGGACUUUGAACAGAUCUGUGUAGGAUAGGUGGGAGGCUUGAAGCAGGGUCGCUAGAUCUUGUGGAGCCAACGUUGAAAUACCACCCUGGUGUGUUUGAGGUUCUAACCUAGGUCCAUUAUCUGGAUCGGGGACAGUGCAUGGUAUGCAGUUUGACUGGGGCGGUCUCCUCCCAAAGCGUAACGGAGGAGUUCGAAGGUACGCUAGUUACGGUCGGACAUCGUGACGAUAGUGCAAUGGCAUAAGCGUGCUUAACUGCGAGACUGACAAGUCGAGCAGAUGCGAAAGCAGGACAUAGUGAUCCGGUGGUUCUGUAUGGAAGGGCCAUCGCUCAACGGAUAAAAGGUACUCUGGGGAUAACAGGCUGAUACCGCCCAAGAGUUCAUAUCGACGGCGGUGUUUGGCACCUCGAUGUCGGCUCAUCUCAUCCUGGGGCUGUAGCCGGUCCCAAGGGUAUGGCUGUUCGCCAUUUAAAGAGGUACGUGAGCUGGGUUUAAAACGUCGUGAGACAGUUUGGUCCCUAUCUUCCGUGGGCGCUGCAGAUUUGAGGAAGCCUGCUCCUAGUACGAGAGGACCGGAGUGGACACACCUCUGGUGUAUCGGUUGUCACGCCAGUGGCAUUGCCGAGUAGCUAAGUGUGGAAGAGAUAACCGCUGAAAGCAUCUAAGCGGGAAACUCGUUUCAAGAUGAGAUCUGCCGGGGCCUUGAGCCCCCUAAAGAGUCGUUCAAGACCAGGACGUUGAUAGGUCAGGUGUGGAAGCGAAAAAAAAAAA
rnacentral:rRNA from 1 species